GACGAACGCUGGCGGCGUGCUUAACACAUGCAAGUCGAACGAAGUGGCGAACGGGUGAGUAACGCGUAAUCAACCUGCCCUUCAGAGGGGGACAACAGUUGGAAACGACUGCUAAUACCGCAUACUGAAGGAGGGGAUUGCGUCGGAUUAGCUGGUUGGGGGGGUAACGGCCCACCAAGGCGAAGAUAAGUAGCCCGUCUGGAAGGGUGAACGGGCAAAAUGGGACUGGGGAACGGCCCCGACUCCUACGGGAGGGAGCAGGGGGGGAACUUCCGGAAAUGACGAAAAUCUGACGGAGCAACGCCGCCGGGGUGAAGAAGGUUUUCGGAGCGUAAAGCUCUGUUGUUAAGGAAGCGGUACUUAACCAGAAAGCGACGGCUAACUACGUGCCAGCAGCCGCGGUAAUAC
rnacentral:rRNA from 1 species